rnacentral:rRNA from 1 species
GUGGGGAAUAUUGGGCAAUGGGCGAAAGCCUGACCCAGCAACGCCGCGUGAAGGAAGAAGGUUUUCGGAUCGUAAACUUCUAUCCUUGGUGAAGAUAAUGACGGUAGCCAAGAAGGAAGCCCCGGCUAACUACGUGCCAGCAGCCGCGGUAAUACGUAGGGGGCAAGCGUUGUCCGGAAUGAUUGGGCGUAAAGGGCGCGUAGGCGGCCCGGUAAGUCUGAAGUGAAAGUCCUGCUUUUAAGGUGGGAAUUGCUUUGGAUACUGUCGGGCUUGAGUGCAGGAGAGGUAAGCGGAAUUCCCGGUGUAGCGGUGAAAUGUGUAGAGAUCGGGAGGAACACCAGUGGCGAAGGCGGCUUACUGGACUGUAACUGACGCCGAGGCGCGAAAGUGUGGGGAGCAAACAGGAUUAGAAACCCUGGUAGUCC